CAUUACACAGAGUAUCACUACUUCAGAAGAACCUGGAAGCACAACUUCAUAUAGAAAUCAAACAUUUCUUCUGAAUCACUUCAUCCAAACAACUCCCUAACACCGAACCUUCGAGAAGAUGGUGCUGAUAGAACAGGAGAAGACUGACGAUCCAAACGCGAAUCCAUCAAACGCUACUGCCGGCAACGACGCCUCCGACGGCUUCGAAACCGCCAGUGAGGCCGAUCUCGAUAGCGACGGUGAUGACGGCGGAGCUAGCAGCCGAGAAGAAUUGCAGCACAGUGAUCAACCGCAGCAGACGCCGAAGCGGACAGAGGGAGAACAGGAACAAGAUGUUCAUCAGCAAAGCAUUUCCUCCGAGGAGGCUUUGAUCAAUGAAGAUGAAUUGAGACAGAAAGCAUUGGAUGAAGCGAAUGAAGCAAAAGUAGAAGGUAACAAACUCUUUGUUGAUGGGAAGUAUGAGGAGGCAUUAUCUCAAUAUGACCAUGCCUUACAAGUUGCACUAGACGUUCCUUCAUUUGUGGAAAUACGCUCAAUAUGCUAUGCAAACCGUGCCGUGUGCUUUUUAAAACAGGGAAAAUAUGAAAAUACAAUUAAAGAAUGCACAAAAGCAUUGGAGCUGAAUCCUGCAUAUGUUAAAGCUUUGGUAAGAAGAGGAGAAGCUCAUGAAAAGCUUGAACAUUUUGAAGAGGCAAUUGCUGAUAUGAAAAAGAUCUUAGAAAUUGAUCCCUCAAAUGAUCAAGCUAGGAAAGCCAUCCGUCGACUAGAGCCCCUUGCUGCAGUCAAACGGGAAAAAAUGAAAGAAGAAAUGAUAGCAAAAUUGAAAGAAAUGGGCAAUUCUGUCUUGGGACGUUUUGGGAUGAGCGUUGACAACUUCAAAGCAGUCAAAGAUCCAAACACUGGUUCCUAUUCUAUCUCAAUGGAACGCUAAAUUUUGUCGAGCAGGGUCAUAAUAGCAGUAAGCAAGAAAGAGACUGUUUAAAAUGAUAAUGGUUUGAGACUUUUGUUGGCAUUAAGUCAUUAGAGAAUACAAAGGUUAGUAAUGUAUCUUCAAAAGGGCGUUUUGUGAUUGAUUCAUCAUGUCCAAGUGACCGAUACUUCCUGCUUACAGUUAAUGUGCUAUAUAGGUUUUAGAACAAAAGAAAUGUAUUCAUCAAAUUGAGAUAGUUCAUAUGAUUGCAUUGUCUAUUGAGAAAUGUGGGGAACACAUUCUUUGAUAGUUUUCUUAAGUCUUAACACUAUUGGGUAAAAACUCCAUCUAUUCCCACUAUUAGAGUGGUCUCGGGUUAUCUAAUGGGGGACCGACUUGGGAGAGAAGAUGUUGAACAGUGUGUUAAACAGUAUAGUGUGAUGUCCUUGAAGUCUCUCUAAAUUACCUUUCUUUUUCCUUUCUGAAAUGUGCACUUGUUUAAGAAGGUUCUUGGAAUUAAGUAGAAAGGAGUUGAACAUUGUUUGAUCGAUGUCAGAGUGUAUUAGUCAUGUGGAUAUUUGCUAUGGAAGCUGAUUUUGGAAUUUGUCAAAGUUUCGUUUUAGAUAGUACUUGCACAUGCAAUUUUUAUGUAUGCCACUUUUAAUACAGUAGUGUAAUCCAUCUGUUGCUGAUAAUGGCUGGUUAUUGUAAUGUUUUCAUGUUAUGAAGCUAUGUACAAUUUGUGGUUA